GACAGGAGUCGAAGGACUAGAAUGAGCUCA
rnacentral:piRNA from 1 species